rnacentral:rRNA from 1 species
AACGCUGGCGGCGUGCCUAAUACAUGCAAGUCGAGCGGAGUUAGAGAAGCUUGCUUCUCUAACUUAGCGGCGGACGGGUGAGUAACACGUGGGCAAUCUGCCCGUAAGACUGGGAUAACUCCGGGAAACCGGGCUAAUACCGGAUAAUCCUGACUCUCUCCUGAGAGUCAGUUGAAAGAUGGUUUCGGCUAUCACUUACGGAUGAGCCCGCGGCGCAUUAGCUAGUUGGUAGGGUGAUGGCCUACCAAGGCGACGAUGCGUAGCCGACCUGAGAGGGUGAUCGGCCACACUGGGACUGAGACACGGCCCAGACUCCUACGGGAGGCAGCAGUAGGGAAUCUUCCGCAAUGGACGAAAGUCUGACGGAGCAACGCCGCGUGAGUGAAGAAGGUUUUCGGAUCGUAAAACUCUGUUGUUAGGGAAGAACACGUACGAGAGUAACUGCUCGUACCUUGACGGUACCUAACCAGAAAGCCACGGCUAACUACGUG